rnacentral:lncRNA from 1 species
GGGGCCAGAGCGCAGCAGGACCCGCACAACCCUUCUUUCUACACUUCCCAGAGACGAUGUAGGAUGAAGGCAGGAGGAGCCACUGAGCAAAACUUCGUGGAGUUGGGUCCAGGGUCCAGUGGCGACAGCGGCUCAUCACCUGAGACCUGACCUGGACAAGCGCGGCCUCCAGGUCUUGCCACCACUGCUGAUUCGUGUUUGCUAUCCCGAUCUACCGAACUGGACUGCUGGUAUAUUCUUGAAUCUCGCUGCCACUGCUGAUCAGUAAACUGAACUGUUGAUUUCCUGAUAAUGCAGAUGGGAUUUGCUCCAAAGAACCAUUGCUAAACAGGACCAGUCAAGGUCUAUUUGGGUUCCAGGCAGAAAUGUCUGACACCACCCCACGGACCAAGAUGGCCCACCUCUCGCUGACAGAUCAAGGACCGGGGAAGCAGAGGAGGCAGAAUCACCAACAGAACAAGAUGUCUUGAAAGGACACUCAUGACCUAGUGGCAGACACCCAGGCCACAUGACCUCCACAGGCUUCCCUUUCCUCUAUUCUUAUGGCUGUUUUUGUUAUUAUUAAUUUUAACUCUGCCCAGCCUCUUCCCAACCCUCCCAAUAUCCACCGCUGGAGAGUCUUAACUAGGGAGACUUAUGACAGACACAACACAGUCAUAGGAACCCUGGACUGCCCACUUGAAGGAUGCUGGACCAAAAUUGAGAUUCCUCUACACAUCAAUUCCACUCCCAGCCCUUUCCUCUUCUUUCCUUACAACACAGGUGAAGGCCUCCAUAUAUGGAGGUUGCAGAUAUUUGGAGACACCAAAUCGAAUCCCCCCCAGUCAUGGUGGCACCAUGUUCGCCAACCUUAACACUCAUUUUUAGCUUGUCAUCAGUGACCCCUGGGACGAUUGAUGACAAAUGGAAAUUGUAGGUAAGCUACCUACCCUAACAGUUCUGCCAUACUCCAUAGCCAACUUACACAUUUCUUGCCAGCUUAUCCCUGCCUCCAAGUUGGUCUUUACCCACAUUAACAUUAUUCAACAGAAGGCUCAAACUCAAGAAGAGAUCCAAGCCACCCUCUGCUGGCUACAAUAGAAUACAAUAGAAUUCCUUGAAUUCCUCCGCAUGCAAAUAAGGCAUCCCCAGCACCCUGGCCCAGCCAAUGGUGUACACUCAUCCUGAAGACCCCUACUCACCCCCAUGCAAAGGUUAAACACCUUGUGUCUCCCCUAAUAAAUUGAACCAGUUCUCUGAA